rnacentral:rRNA from 1 species
UACGGAGGGUGCAAGCGUUAUCCGGAUUUACUGGGUUUAAAGGGUGCGUAGGCGGGCUUUUAAGUCAGUGGUGAAAUCUCCGGGCUCAACCCGGAAAUUGCCAUUGAUACUAUUAGUCUUGAAUUAAGUUGAGGUGGGCGGAAUGUGUCAUGUAGCGGUGAAAUGCUUAGAUAUGACACAGAACACCGAUUGCGAAGGCAGCUCGCUAAACUUAUAUUGACGCUGAGGCACGAAAGCGUGGGGAUCAAAUAGG